GUGUAGGCCAACACCUGAGCACACCUGAUCUCAUUUGAUUUGAAGAUAAGCAAGGUUGGGACUGAUUAGUACUUGAAUGAGAGACUAUCAGGGAUUUAGAGAUAGGCUUAGAAA
rnacentral:rRNA from 1 species